rnacentral:rRNA from 1 species
AGCGUUGCUCGGAAUCACUGGGCGUAAAGCGCACGUAGGCGGAUUGCUAAGUCAGGGGUGAAAUCCUGGAGCUCAACUCCAGAACUGCCUUUGAUACUGGCGAUCCUGAGUCCGGGAGAGGUGAGUGGAACUGCGAGUGUAGAGGUGAAAUUCGUAGAUAUUCGCAAGAACACCAGUGGCGAAGGCGGCUCACUGGCCCGGUACUGACGCUGAGGUGCGAAAGCGUGGGGAGCAAACAGG